GUUGGGUGGAGCAAGCAGGUGGCAUGCAUCCUCCCCAUCGUGGCUGGGGUGGGGUUCGUCCUUCCCGUGGGGGAAGGAUGGGGGUAGGGCUCG